rnacentral:rRNA from 1 species
GACAGAGGGUGCAAACGUUGUUCGGAAUUACUGGGCGUAAAGCGCGUGUAGGCUGCUUCGCAAGUCGGAUGUGAAAGCCCUGGGCUCAACCCAGGAAGUGCAUUCGAAACUGCAGAGCUGGAGUCCUGGAGAGGAAGGCGGAAUUCUCGGUGUAGAGGUGAAAUUCGUAGAUAUCGAGAGGAACACCGGUGGCGAAGGCGGCCUUCUGGACAGUGACUGACGCUGAGGCGCGAAAGCUAGGGGAGCAAACGGG